CCUCCAAAAUUUCAACUAAAGAUCACCAUCUAAAAUCUUCUUUCAGUUGAACUAUCCACCACAAAUGGCUGUUAAGUUAUUAUAAGUAAGCAUGACAUUUGGGUUCAGAAGAAAAGUGGAAAUGUUACAUCUACCUAUUGCAGUUGUUUUGCUUGUAUCUUGCCAUGGAUGGUUCAUGUAAUGUCGCUCCUGAAGAUUAUGUCAAAACACAGAUACAGUAAAUGUUCGAACAACAUGUGAAGUAUCAAAAAGUUUUCCUGAAGUAGACUUGACAGUAAAGAUGGUGGAAAAUUGCUUUUAAUUAGCGACAUAAUAUCUUUGUCAAGCAAACG